GGAAGCGGGAUGACGUCAAUCAUCAUGCCCUUUAUGUCCUGGGCUACACACGUGCUACAAUGGCCUGUACAAAGGGCAGCAAAGGGGCGACCCGGAGCAAAUCCCAAAAAAACAGGUCUCAGUUCGGAUUGCAGGCUGCAACUCGCCUGCAUGAAGGCGGAAUCGCUAGUAAUCGCAGGUCAGCAUACUGCGGUGAAUACGUUCCCGGGCCUU
rnacentral:rRNA from 1 species